rnacentral:rRNA from 1 species
AACGAACGUUGGCGGCGUGGAUUAGGCAUGCAAGUCGAACGAAUCCCUAGGGGCUUGCUCUCAGGGGAAAGUGGCGAAAGGGGCAGUAAGGCGUGGGUAACCUACCCCGAGGAUGGGGAGUAGCCACCCUAACGGGUGGGUAAUACCCGGCGACGUAGCUGAGGCGCCUGUCUCGGUUACCAAAGGAGUUUCGCCUCGGGAGGGGCUCACGUGGUAUUAGCUUGUUGGUGGGGUAACGGCCUACCAAGGCAAAGAUGCCUAGCAGGUGUGAGAGCAUGACCUGCGCCACUGGCACUGAGACACUGGCCAGACUCCUACGGGAGGCUGCAGUCGAGGAUCUUCGGCAAUGGGCGCAAGCCUGACCGAGCGACGCCGCGUGCGCGAUGAAGGCCUCGGUU